UACGAAGGGGGCUAGCGUUGUUCGGAAUUACUGGGCGUAAAGCGCGCGCAGGCGGUCUUCCAAGUCAGUGGUGAAAGCCCGGAGCUCAACUCCGGAAUUGCCAUUGAAACUGUUGGACUUGAGGAUGAGAGAGGUGAGUGGAAUUCCCAGUGUAGAGGUGAAAUUCGUAGAUAUUGGGAAGAACACCGGUGGCGAAGGCGGCUCACUGGUCCAUUACUGACGCUGAGGUGCGAAAGCGUGGGGAGCAAACAGG
rnacentral:rRNA from 1 species